CGAAGGGGGCUAGCGUUGCCCGGAAUUACUGGGCGUAAAGGGCGCGUAGGCGGACAGUUAAGUUGGGGGUGAAAGCCCGGGGCUCAACCUCGGAACUGCCUUCAAUACUGGCUGUCUUGAGUACGGGAGAGGUGUGUGGAACUCCGAGUGUAGAGGUGAAAUUCGUAGAUAUUCGGAAGAACACCAGUGGCGAAGGCGACACACUGGCCCGUUACUGACGCUGAGGCGCGAAAGCGUGGGGAGCAAACAGGAUUAGAUACCCUGGUAGUCCACGCCGUAAACGAUGAGUGCUAGUUGUCGGGCGGCAUGCCGUUCGGUGACGCAGCUAACGCAUUAAGCACUCCGCCUGGGGAGUACGGUCGCAAGAUUA
rnacentral:rRNA from 1 species